CCUACGGGAGGCUGCAGUGAGGAAUAUUGGUCAAUGGGCGCGAGCCUGAACCAGCCAAGUAGCGUGAAGGAUGACUGCCCUACGGGUUGUAAACUUCUUUUAUAAAGGAAUAAAGUGAGGCACGUGUGCCUUUCUGUAUGUACUUUAUGAAUAAGGAUCGGCUAACUCCGUGCCAGCAGCCGCGGUAAUACGGAGGAUCGAAGCGUUAUCCGGAUUUAUUGGGUUUAAAGGGAGCGUAGGUGGGUCGUUAAGUCAGUUGUGAAAGUUGGGGGCUCAACCGGAAAAUUGCAAUUGAUACUGGCAGUCUUGAGUACAGUUGAGGUAGGCGGAAUGCGUGGUGUAGCGGUGAAAUGCUUAGAUAUCACGAAGAACUCCGAUUGCGAAGGCAGCUUACUAAGCUGCCACUGACGUUGAUGCUCGAAAGUGUGGGUAUCAAACAGGAUUAGAUACCCCAGUAGUC
rnacentral:rRNA from 1 species